AGUGAACGCUGGCGGUAGGCCUAACACAUGCAAGUCGAACGGCAGCACAGUAAGAGCUUGCUCUUACGGGUGGCGAGUGGCGGACGGGUGAGGAAUACAUCGGAAUCUACUUUUUCGUGGGGGAUAACGUGGGGAAACUUACGCUAAUACCGCAUACGACCUACGGGUGAAAGCAGGGGAUCUUCGGACCUUGCGCGAUUGAAUGAGCCGAUGUCGGAUUAGCUAGUUGGCGGGGUAAAGGCCCACCAAGGCGACGAUCCGUAGCUGGUCUGAGAGGAUGAUCAGCCACACUGGAACUGAGACACGGUCCAGACUCCUACGGGAGGCAGCAGUGGGGAAUAUUGGACAAAGGGCGCAAGCCUGAUCCAGCCAUACCGCGUGGGUGAAGAAGGCCUUCGGGUUGUAAAGCCCUUUUGUUGGGAAAGAAAAGCAGCAGGUUAAUACCCCGCUGUUCUGACGGUACCCAAAGAAUAAGCACCGGCUAACUUCGUG
rnacentral:rRNA from 1 species